rnacentral:misc_RNA from 1 species
UUAAGUUCAGCGGGUAGUCCUACCUGAUUUGAGGUCAAAAGUUCAGAAGUUGUCCCCAGGGGACUCAUUAGAAGCAGAACAUACAGAGAGCAGCCCUUUGUCUUUGGCGUAGAUAAUUAUCACACCGGUGACGGACCGCAAACGGUUCUGCUAAUGCAUUUCAGGGGAGCUGACCUCAUCAGAGGCCUGCAGAUACCCCC